UCAAACUUGGUCAUUUAGAGGAAGUAAAAGUCGUAACAAGGUCUCCGUUGGUGAACCAGCGGAGGGAUCAUUACCGAGUUUACAAACUCCCAAACCCGUGCGAACCUUACCUUCCACCGUUGCCUCGGCGGGACGGCCCCGGGCGCCCUCGCGUGCCCCGGACCCAGGCGCCCGCCGGAGGACCUAACGUUCUGUAUCUUUUCAGCGGCAUCUUCUGAGUGGGCAAGAAUGAAUAAUGAAAACUUUCAACAACGGAUCUCUUGGUUCUGGCAUCGAUGAAGAACGCAGC
rnacentral:misc_RNA from 1 species